GGGAAGGUGGCUCAGUGGUAGAGUGCUUGCCUCAUACAUGCAAGGGAAACACUCUACCACUGAGCCACCUUCCCA
rnacentral:tRNA from 1 species